rnacentral:tRNA from 1 species
UGCAACUUAGUUUAUAUAGAACAGUUAAUUUGCACUUAACCAGAGAAUUUUUCAGUAGCA